AGAGUUUGAUCCUGGCUCAGAACGAACGCUGGCGGCGUGCCUAACACAUGCAAGUCGAACGUGAUCCGCCCUUCGGGGUGGUGAAAGUGGCGCACGGGUGAGUAACGCGUGGAUAAUCUGCCCGAGGAUUUGGGAUAACAUCUCGAAAGGGGUGCUAAUACCGAAUAAGCCCACGGGGUCUACGGAUCUUGCGGGAAAAGGGGGGGACCUUCGGGCCUCCUGUCCUUGGAUGAGUCUGCGUACCAUUAGCUAGUUGGUGGGGUAAUGGCCUACCAAGGCGACGAUGGUUAGCUGGUCUGAGAGGAUGAUCAGCCACACUGGAACUGAGACACGGUCCAGACUCCUACGGGAGGCAGCAGUGGGGAAUUUUGCGCAAUGGGGGAAACCCUGACGCAGCAACGCCGCGUGGGUGAUGAAGGCCUUCGGGUCGUAAAGCUCUGUCUGGAGGGAAGAAAUGAUUGGGAGCUAAUACCUCUUGAUCUUGACGGUACCUCUGAAGGAAGCACCGGCUAACUCCGUGCCAGCAGCCGCGGUAAUACGGAGGGUGCAAGCGUUGUUCGGAAUUAUUGGGCGUAAAGCGCGUGUAGGCGGUCUUUUAAGUCUGAUGUGAAAGCCCCGGGCUCAACCUGGGAAGUGCAUUGGAAACUGGGAGGCUUGAGUACGGGAGAGGAGAGUGGAAUUCCUAGUGUAGGAGUGAAAUCCGUAGAUAUUAGGAGGAACACCGGUGGCGAAGCGGCUCUCUGGACCGAUACUGACGCUGAGACGCGAAAGCGUGGGUAGCAAACAGGAUUAGAUACCC
rnacentral:rRNA from 1 species